rnacentral:rRNA from 1 species
UACGUAGGGGCAAGCGUUGUCCGGAAUCAUUGGGCGUAAAGAGCGUGUAGGCGGCCAGAUAAGUCCGCUGUGAAAUCUCGAGGCUCAACUUCGAGCUGUCGGUGGAACUGUCUGGCUAGAGUCCGGAAGAGGAGAAUGGAAUUCCUGGUGUAGCGGUGAAAUGCGCAGAUAUCAGGAAGAACACCAAUGGCGAAGGCAGCUCUCUGGACGGUACUGACGCUGAGACGCGAAAGCGUGGGAGCGAACAGG